ACCGCUUCUAGAAGAACAACCCGCACAAGCGUACAGCCAUCAAUGGAGUCACGUAUCGUAAUGAAGCACAUUAGGUCACUUUUCAAUAAAGAAAACGAGCAAGUUGUUUUGUGUAUCGAACAGAGAGAAAUUUAAAAACAGUGAUGUGUACGGAACUCUCUUAGGAGGAUUGGACACGAUACUCCUACAAGCCAUCGUUUUAACAUCUACUAUUUCAUAUAGUCGCCACUGGGAUUACAAAGGCAUACGAUGAUAGGCACAGCAUCGUGUUGUCCCAUUCGCCUCCAUGACCAAGCACUGAGAUUGUCAAGUGGGAACGUUGCCGCGAGUCUCAAAGGGGAAUUCAGCAUUCCGGUUGAAACUUCGGACACUUUCCUGAGAAUACAGAUCAACUGAUAAUAACACAUGCGUAAACAGGGUUCCGGUAUAACGCCGGCUGUGGCAGCCCUUGACAUCUGGCAUUUUAGACCUUGUUCACAAAAACACGUGCAUUAAUAAGACUAGUAUUAGCUACAAAAGAUGCCUGGUUCAGUUGAUUUCAUAGCAGCUAUGAAGUUUCUAUAUAUAUAUAUAUAUUAUAUAUAUAUAUAUAUUAGUCUUCACACGCGUCUACUACAGCAUAGCGUCAAAAAAGUCUUUUGGAAACCUUGUUUCUAUGUGCAUCAAAGCGAUCUUCAAGUUGACAUCUGAACAUAUCUUCAUUUGUUCGACUAGCAACAAUGGAGAACACGUUAUUAUCUCACGCAAUGAUCGCUGGAUUCGUGCUGCUCGGAAACUACCAAAUAA